rnacentral:rRNA from 1 species
GAUGAACGCUGGCGGCGUGCCUAAUACAUGCAAGUCGAGCGAACAGACGAGGAGCUUGCUCCUCUGACGUUAGCGGCGGACGGGUGAGUAACACGUGGAUAACCUACCUAUAAGACUGGGAUAACUUCGGGAAACCGGAGCUAAUACCGGAUAAUAUAUUGAACCGCAUGGUUCAAUAGUGAAAGACGGUUUUGCUGUCACUUAUAGAUGGAUCCGCGCCGCAUUAGCUAGUUGGUAAGGUAACGGCUUACCAAGGCAACGAUGCGUAGCCGACCUGAGAGCGUGAUCGGCCACACUGGAGCUGAGACACGGUCCAGACUCCUACGGGAGGCAGCAGUAGGGAAUCUUCCGCAAUGGGCGAAAGCCUGACGGAGAAACGCCGCGUGCGUGAUGAAGGUCUUCGGAUCGUAAAACUCUGUUAUUAGGGAAGAACAAAUGUGUAAGUAACUAUGCACGUCUUGACGGUACCUAAUCAGAAAGCCACGGCUAACUACGUG